CGCCAGGGACCAUGGACUGGGGACCGACAAACCCCGCCAGGGCAGGAAUGCAGCAACGGUAGUCUUCUCCUCUUUGCCGUGGCUCUCUGGCGGCC
rnacentral:SRP_RNA from 1 species